CAAAGCCUAAGGCAGAAACCAUACCUUGAUGUUCUCCUGCAGCCCUUUCCUGUUGGUCACCUCACAUGCAAACGUGGGGACCACUUGAGUGUAAGCCUUUUUAAAACAAAUAUAUCCUGAGUGCCUGCUUUGGCAGCACCUAUGGCCCCUACACGUGAGGAUGGGAGCAUGAGCACAUAUUCAGGAAGCGCUCCAUAUUUUUAAAAAAUAAUUUUGAAAUAAAUUUAGACUUUGAGUUUCAAAAACAGUUUCCACACACCCUUCACCCUUGUACCUCCCCUAAUUGAUCCUCUUACAUAACCAUGGUAUACUGAUCAGAACUGGGAAGUUAACACUGGCGUAAUAUGAUUAAAUAAACUCUAAGCCUUACCCACAUUUUAUGGGGUUUUCUGCUUGUAUUCUUUUUUUUUUUGUCCCAGGAUUCAAAAUGCUGCACUUCCUUAUUACGUGUCCUUGGUCUCUUCCAGACUGUCAGCAUCUCGGACUUUCCUGUCUCCUGGGACUCCGACAUUUUGAAGAGUAGAUUUGUUCCGCAGAAUGCCUCCUCAAUGGGUGCUACUUCAGGGUGAAUGAAGCUGGCAAGGGCAGUCUCUGCUGGGGCCUAUAGGCAGGGGGUCGCCUUCACCUCUCCAUCCGGUGUCUCUGCGCCACUGACCUAGGACCACAGACGUCUGUCCUCAGCCCCCAGCCUGCUGUUGUCGAGAAGCCUCACAGAUAACAUAAACAGUCCGUCGGCACGUGUGUUCUGUGUUCAGUGUAUUCCGUACUGAGUUCGUAGACCUGCAGUGGUUGACGGGUCAACUACAGAGAGCUUGCAGUGCACGAGAUCGACGUGUAGUGGUAAGUUGCCUUGGUAGAAAUGCAGAAGGGUUUUCUGUAGACAAGGUCCUGGCAUCUAUAUUCGUUGUACUUAUAUUCAUUUUACUUAUUCCUUUUUACUUAUAUUCCAUUGUACUUAUUCCUUUCCGGUUUGGACACCCUUUAUUUCUUUUUCUUGCCUAAUUGCUCUGGCUCAGACUUCCAGUUCUGUGUUGAAUAAAAGUGGCAGGAGUGGGCCUCCUUGCCAUGCUCUCGAUCUUCGA